CAUCGAAUGAAAUUGAUUGAAAUCAUCAUCAAAUGGAAUCGAAUGGCAUCAUUGAAUGGAAUCGAAUGGAAUCAUCAUCAGAUGGAAAUGAAUGGAAUCAUCACUGAAUGGAAUCGAAUGGAUUCAUUGAAUGGAAUCAGAUGGGAUCAUCGAAUGGACUUGAAUGGAAUCAUUGAAUGGACUCGAAAGGAAUCAUUAUUGAAUGGAAUUGAAUGGAAUCAUCGAAUGGUCUCGAAUGGAAUCAUUAUCAAAUGGAAUCGAAUGGAAUCACCGAAUAGAAUC
rnacentral:lncRNA from 1 species